UCUUGCAUAUUCAAUUAUCACACAUAUCACACUCCUUCACAAUCUAGAGCUUGUUUAAGAUGGGUAAAAUCUCUCAUCUUCCCCACUUCUCAUGGAAGUGAUCGAAGGAACCAUCUGUUUUCUUCUCGAUCACCAUAGAACCAUCUAACCACCGAUAUCCCCUCUAAUUGUACACACACCACCAUAUCAUCAUCCCCUCAUCUAUUGUUUUGGUUGGUGUUUGUAAAGAAAGAAUUUCAUGAAUUAUGGCAUAUGUAGCUGGAAGAGAGGAAAGGCAGCAAAACCGCUGCCACCAACAGUGACGGUUAAAGUGGGGGUUGUUAAGAUUAACCAUAACCCACAACAAUUCAUCAACACCGCCCUAAACAUUGUCAACGACUUGAUCGAGACUUUGUUCGAUCAUUUUUACCAGUCAGUCUCUCUCAUUUUUUCCUAAUGUUUAGUAUUCAUUGUAAAUUCUGAUUUCUUUUUAACACGCACGUUCGUCACCAUAAGCUGCCAAAGCAAAUGGGAUCCCAUCCAUUCAUAUCUCAAAGAGUAUGCCACCACCCAUCUCCCUUUUUGAUGCGCAAAACCAUGUGAUCGGAGAUUAAUUGUACUUGAUUGGUAAUCUCUACACAUGUUUUCUGAUUUUAUAGUAACUAUUAUUUAGGAAUUGAUGCAUCAUUUUGCAGUUCUCAAAUGUGGUAACUUGACAUCUCUAAUGACAUUCGAUUUAAAUCCAUUUCCCUUUUAUUGAUUCUGUAACAUAGCAUGUGGUUGGAUUGAUCAAUUUUUCCUUUCAUAUGUUUGUAUUGUUUGCUUUACUGUGUCAUUUUUCUUUGAAUUGUUACUUUGAACCAAUUUACAUAGUUCUGAAAAAAAAUUCUUCAAAUUAUGUGUGACAUAUUUCAAUUUAGGUUGUAUUUUUAUGAUUAUAUCCAUCCAAUUAUAUAAUAUGUCUUAUAUAUUUUGAUUUGUUUCAGAUUAAUAAAUAGUAUGAUGUUGUUAGAGGUUUCUACAAGUAUGAUUGGGGAGAAACAUUCCAUUUUCCCCCAAGGUUGAUUUCUUAUAUUUUUAUUCUUUAAAUUAACUUACUAGAUGGAAUGGAUAAUCCCUUAGAAAGAGCAUUAAGAGACAUGAACAAUUUAUUGCAUUACAACUAGGUUUGAAGCCUAGAUAAAUGGUGAUGGAUGUUGGAUGUGGAAUUGGUAGAUCAUCGAGGGAAAUUGCUAAUUUAGGUAACUAACAUAGACUCAUUACUGAUGGCUAAUAAUGUUGUUUUUUGUUUGACUAUUUGACGUUCUUCCUUGCUUCUCACACCUCAACAUCUGUAAAGGUCAUAAACAACAAUGAAUAUUAGAUAAUAUACGGGAAUGAAAAUCAUCUUAUGGUAGUAGAAUGUAUUAUAAAAUUUUCUUGAAAACUUAUAAUCUUUUAUGUUUCUAUAUUUUUUCAGCCAUUGAAUCGUGUUGCAGGAGUGAACCAGAUGUGCAACUUUACAAAGAUCAAUUUGUUGUCUUGUAUUAUAUGUUAAAAGAAAUGUAUAUAAUUUUAGAGUUUGGGUGCAUAUGAUAUGACAUGAUUGUUAUUUUUUUGUUAAUGUUGUAGGUCAACUUCAUGAAGAUGAAAUUUUGUUAAUAACAAUUUGAAUGCAAUUUAUGCAAUUGAGGCUACUUGCCAUGCUCUAGAUGCAGUAUAUAAAUGCUGUUUGUCAAUAUCAAUUUUACUAUUUUUUUGUAUUUAUCUUAUAUCUAACUAUGAUUUUAUUUUUUGUCUUCAUAUAAGAUGGGAUGUUACAAGGAGAUUUAUAGAGUUUUGAAGUGUCGCCAAUCAUUUUUUGCAUAUGAGUGGUGCAUGACUUAUGAAUUUGAGACGAAUAACCAAGACUACCAAAAAAAUCAAGGUUGAAUUUGAUAUUGGUGUUAGCCUUUCGGAUAUAAGGUCAACAAGACAGUGCCUUGCAACUAUAAAAGGAGCAGGUUUUACAUUAUGAGGAUGUUAGUUUCAUUGUGAUGCUUUUGAUGGCAUUGGCUAGGAAAUAAAACCAAUACAAGCUGAUUUGUCGCAAGUGAGUGCUUUUUGUUAUUUGUUUUGUAGAUCUAUAAAAGGUUUCUCGAAUUCCAAGGUGACAGAUUUUGGCUUUUCCUUUAAAGACAUAAUAGGGAUAGAUGAUUAAGAAAUCCAUUUUGAGGUUUGUGAAAUUAUUAGUUUAUAAUAUAUAUGUCAAAUACUUGAGGUUCGUUUUUUUAAAUAUACUUGCUAAUAUAACAUCUUUUAGGCAAGGGAAAAGAGGAAGAAUAUGCUCGAGAGUCAAUGAGUAAAGAGAAAAUAGACACAUUUGAUAAUGAAAUUUUAUAAAUUUUAUCCUGCAGCACCUGACACCCUUGCUGUCUCAAAAUCUAGACAAAAAAUGAAUGAAGCGGCUGUAGAAGAAGCUUGUUGUUCAACACUCUUUUUAUUAGAGGGAUCUAUCAAUGGUAAUCGUCUUUUGUUUACCUAUUUUCUAUUCCUAGGUAAUCCUUUUUUGUAUAAUAUGUUCCUUUUCAUGAAUUGUAACCAUCAACAUAUGUAAUAUAAUCCGACAUUCUAAAGAAAAAUACAGAUCACU